rnacentral:ncRNA from 1 species
UCCGUCGUGUCGCGGCCGGCCGUGUCGCGGGACCACGUGUCCCGUCGGCGCGGUCGCCGUCGCGCUCGUCAGCCGUCUCGGGGUGUUAGUUACCGGCACGUCGGCCGGACGUAUUGUCGGCAGGCGGACACGUGUCUCGUGCUUCCGGCGCGCCGCGCGGCCACGCGUCGCGCGGCCGUCGGUGUUCGACGACGGCGGCCGCCUACUCCAAUCUUGCUGCGCGGUGCUCUUCACCGAGUGCCGUCGGCGGGCCGACACGUUUACUUUGAACAAAUUAGAGUGCUCAAAGCAGGCUCGAAUCUGGCGGGGCGGCUUCACGGCCGUCUCGUCAAAAGGCCCUGAAUACUGGUCGCAUGGAAUAAUGGAACAAGACCUCGGUCCCGCGCAUCUCCGCCCUUCGCGGGCGCGCGAAAUCGCCCUCCGGGGCGUUUCCGUGCGCGGGCCGCCGGGCCGCGGGCGCCAGUCGCCCGCGCGUCCCGCCGGGCCGGUUUUCGGGACCGGAGGUAAUGAUCAACAGAGACGGGCGGGGGCAUUCGUACCGAGACGUUAGAGGUGAAAUUCUUGGAUCGUCUCGAGACGAACUGACGCGAAAGCAUUUGCCAAGUACGUUCUCGUAUGAUCAAGAACGAAAGUUAGAGGUUCGAAGGCGAUCAGAUACCGCUCUAGUUCUAACUGUAAACGAUGCCAGCUAGCGAUCCGCCGGCGUUUCAUUACGACCCGGCGGGCAGCUUCCGGGAAACCGAAGCUUUUCGGUUCCGGGGGAAGUAUGAUUGCAAAGUUGAAACUUAAAGGAAUUGACGGAAGGCACCACAG